rnacentral:miRNA from 1 species
UUUCAUGGUUCUUAUGUGCUUCU